CGUUGAACUGACAAAGAAAACCAAGAACGAGGCUGAAUAAAUUUUGACGAGAAAGAACAUGCAAGAAACAAAAUAGGAUCAAUUUUGUAUAAUUUACAUACAUAAGUCGAAACUCAAACGACAAAAAUGAGUUACUCUCGUCCUCCACCCAACACAGAACGAAUGUCAUCUCUUAAAGUUGACAAUCUCACAUUCAGAACAACACCAGAAGAUCUGAGACGCGCCUUUGAAAAGUACGGCGAGGUUGGAGACAUUUAUAUUCCCCGAGAUCGUUUCACUAGGAAAAGCAGAGGUUUUGCAUUUGUUAGGUACUAUGACAAAAGAGAUGCAGAAGACGCACUUGAUUCAAUGGACAGAGCAAUGUUAGAUGGUAGGGAACUCCGUGUACAGAUGGCAAGAUAUGGAAGACCUUCAAAUGACCGUAGAGGUGGAAGAAGGGGAGGUGGAAGUUAUGGCGGAGGUGGUGGCAGGGAUGGAGAUCGAGGCAGAGACGGAGAUCGAGGCAGAGAUGGAGGAGGAGGUCGAUAUGGAGGUGGUGACCGUGGUGGUAGCAGUAGGGACAGGGAUAGUAGGCGGAGAUCUUACAGGGAAAGGGACCUGAUCAUAUGAGUUUAAAAGGAUCAUAGAUUCCUGUACUAGAUUAUGUAAUCCUGGGGUAACAUGCACAGUGCAGUCUACAAGCUCAGGCUGGUGCAGUAGAAUGCAUAUUGUGCAGUUAAGUUACACGAGCAUCUGCUGCAUGUGAAAGGCAAGGCAAUCUUGCAGUCUAGUAAUACGAGAACGUAGAGGUGUUAUAGCUUGAAUUGUUAAAGAGUAGCUGUUCCCAGAUUUUUAGCUUCGAGGUUGUAAAAUUAAGGAACCCGGUGUAGAUUGUGGCAGGGAAAUAAUGGCCGACAAAUUUAGUUUUAGAACAAGCGUUUAUUAGGGGUAAGAGGUCCAAAUCUAGAAGUAGGAGUAGAUCUAGGUCAAGGAGUCGAUCUGACAGUUCCAGAAGUCGUAGCAAGAGUAGGUCUCGCUCCAGGUCAAGGUCAUAAACCAAAUGACAAAUAAGAACAUUUCAUAGCUUUGUGUUUCAUUAUCAUGUAUAAAUAAUAGCUUUGUAGGAGCAGACAUUAUAGCAAGGGGGUUGGAGUUAAAUCAUGGGCAAUUUAAAUUUUGUUUUGGAUGGAUAUCAUAAGAAGAAGGGGGUGGGGACAAUAAUGAUUUCUCAAAUACAAUUUGGCUUUAAGUAUAAAAUAUAUAUUAGAGUAUUUUAAGAUUCUGUACUUUACCUUCAAGAAUAUUCUCAGUUGCUGUUAUUCAUUUGAAAAUUAAUCCUGACAAGUUGGAUAAACUGGUUCCUUGUUAGUCUGCUCCGGUUUGGUUUUAAUUUCAUAUGUGUAUUAAACUUUUCUGCUAGAAUAUAAACAUUGACUUUCACUCUUAAAAACAAAAGAAAUUAUGAUAAAUUUAGUUUUUUUUUUAUAUUUUAACCAUGCUCAUUUUAUGUAGGUAGACCAUAUUCCCAUGAAAUAUUUCUCAAGACAUAAAAGAAGAGAAUUGAUACCAAUAAAGUGUAAAUUUAAUUCUCAGUAUUUGUCAAAUUGUUUUUUUAAGCCAUUUCUUGUUUUAUCAAAAUUAAUUGGAUUUUUUUCUUGUAUUUUAGCAAAGGCAGCUUCGUCAUUUCCCAAAUUUCUAGGAACUAACAUUGUAUGAUUACAAUUUUGAACCUACUUGUUUAAUCUGAAACCUGUUGGGAGUCAGAAAGUCAUUUAAGUUGCUUUAUUAUAAUCUGUUUUGAAUUGAAAAGAUUAUACUGUUUUUUGUUUUAGACAAGUAGAUAGUUUGUCAUUCAUGUAGCAUAUGUUUUGAUAUCGAUUCUCUUCAAUAAAAACUUCUUACAUUUUUUAUUAAUUUAUUUUAAAUUCACUUUUUCUUUACAUCUGCUGUCUGUCACUCAUGGUCGUUCAAAUUCAUUAUAAAAAAACUUGCAUAAUAUUCAUUGAUCAAGACAAUUUUCUUUCGUAGAAUUUUUCAACAUGUCAUUUUUUCUGGUAAGGUAAUUCAAAUGUAUUUGUCAAGAAAGAAUAAAUAUAUUGCUUAAUUUUUGGUCAGACUUGUCAAAUACAUAAUGAUAACAAAAUUAAUUUCCAAGUUUUAGUCCAUUGUUUUACCUAGGCCCUAUAGUUCUUUCUUUAAGGGGAUCAACCCUAAUGUUUACAAAAUUUACAAAAGUCUGACUAUUGCCCUAUUUUCAAAAAGGAAAUGACCUUGUAUCCAGCUGUAUUUUGGAUGCCAAUUGUUGAAACAUUAUAUUAUUUGAAAUGAUACUGGCAAUCGUAGCAUGUCAUCAAAUUUUAAGUUGUAAUAAAAGACCAGUGUCAACAUUAUAAUGAAUGUGUUGUAUUCUGUGUAAUAAAAUUUGAUCCUUUUUAA